rnacentral:rRNA from 1 species
CGCAUCUGUGCAUGCAGCAUAUCAAUAAGCGGAGGAAAAGAAACUAACAAGGAUUCCCCUAGUAACGGCGAGUGAAGCGGGAAGAGCUCAAAUUUGAAAUCUUAAAGGGUUUCCCUUUACGAAUUGUAGUUUAAAGAAGUGUUUUCUGUUGAGGUUUUGGUAAAAGUUCUUUGGAAUAGGACAUCAUAGAGGGUGAGAAUCCCGUAUUUGACCUUUACUUUCAACUUUGUGAUACACUUUCAAAGAGUCGGAUUGUUUGGGAAUGCAGUCCAAAAUGGGUGGUAAAUUUCAUCUAAAGCUAAAUAUUGGCGAGAGACCGAUAGCGAACAAGUACCGUGAGGGAAAGAUGAAAAGAACUUUGAAAAGAGAGUUAAACAGUACGUGAAAUUGUCAAAAGGGAAGCGUUUGACACCAGUGUUGUUUUUCUGAAAAUCAAUUAAAGAACUGUUCAUGCUAAGCUGUUUAGACUUUAUCAGCUAUCUGUUUAGUUUUGAGCUUUUCUUUAAUACACUUUUCAGUUAACAAGUCAACAUCAAUUUCUUUUGCUGUAAAAAAGCUUGAGGAAGGUGGCUUGAGAUUCGUCUUAAGUGUUUAUAGCCUCUUGCCUAUGCAGUCGGAGAGAUUGAGGUCUGCAGCGUAGAUCCUUCGGGGCUAAAUGCAUUUGUGCUAAGUUAUAGCAUUUUAUAGACAACUUGUUGACUAUGAUUUGUCUUGUAGCUUACUCGCUUAUGUUAUUUUACCUACGCUUAGGAUGUUGAGUCGUAGAGCACGCAG